rnacentral:misc_RNA from 1 species
GAUGAAGAACGUAGCGAAACGCGAUAUGUAAUGUGAAUUGCAGAAUUCAGUGAAUCAUCGAAUCUUUGAACGCACAUGGCGCCUUCCAGUAUCCUGGGAGGCAUGCCUGUCCGAGCGUCGUUUCAACCCUCGAGCCCUCGUGGCCCGGCGUUGGGGAUCUGCCACGGCAGGCCCCGAAAUACAGUGGCGGACCCGUUAGGCCCUUCCUUUGCGUAGUAGCAUCAGCCUCGCAUCGGGAGCCGGCGGGCUCUCCUGCCUCUACACCCCCCAACAAGCCCGCUCCGGCGGCACCAAGGUUGACCUCGGAUCAGGUAGGAAUACCCGCUGAACUUAAGCAUAUCAAUAAGCGGAGGA